GAUGAACGCUGGCGGCGUGCCUAACACAUGCAAGUCGAGCGGACAGACGCUAAGCUUGCUUCUCUGAUGUUAGGGGCGCGCGGGUGUGUAACACGUGGAUAACCUACCUGUAUGACUGAGAUCACUUCGGGAAACGGGCGCAUACACCGUAGGAUAUCCUGCACCGCAGGGGUGAAAGGUGAAAGUCGGUCUUGCUGUAUCGUAUAGAUGGUUAUGAGCUGCAUGAUCUAGUAGGUAAGGUCACGGCUUACGAAGGCUAGGAUGCAUAGACGACCUGAGAGGGGGGUCGGCGACACUGGAGGUGAGACAGGGUCCAGACUCCUACGGGAGGCAGCAGUCGGGAAUCUUACGCAAAGGGGGAAAGCCUGACAGAGCAAGGCGGCGUGAGUGAUGAAGGUCUUCGGAGCGUAAAACUCUGUUAUUAGUGAAGAACAGAUGUGUAAGUAAAUGUGCAGAUCUUGACGGUAACUAAUCAGAAAGCCACGGCUAACUACGUG
rnacentral:rRNA from 1 species